rnacentral:rRNA from 1 species
AACGUAGGUACCGAGCGUUAUCCGGAUUCACUGGGCGUAAAGCGCGUGCAGGUGGUAUGGUAAGUCGGGCAUGAAAACUCUUGGCUCAACUGAGAGACGCUGUCCGAUACUGCCGAACUUGAGGGUGUAAGAGGGGGGUGGAAUUCCGCAUGUAGUGGUGAAAUGCGUAGAUAUGCGGAGGAACACCAGUGGCGAAGGCGGCCUCCUGGUACACUCCUGACACUCAGACGCGAAAGCUAGGGGAGCGAACGGG